rnacentral:rRNA from 1 species
GUACAGUGCGUGCCAGAGGCGGGGGUAAAAGGUGGGGGGAGGGCGUUAUCCGGGUUUACUGGGCGGAAAGCGCGCGAAUGUGGUUGAGUAAGGUGGUGGUGGAAUCUCUUGGCUUAACGGGGAGGGGACGCUCAAGACUGCUUGGCUUGAGGUCGAGAGAGGGGUGCAGAAUUCCCGGUGUAGUGGUGGAAUGCGUAGAUAUCGGGAGGAAUACCAGUGGCGAAAGCGGCUCUCUGGUCCACACCUGACGCUCAGGUGCGAAAGCGUGGGUAGCGAACGGGAUUAGAUACCCCGGUAGUC